UAAAGUAAAGUAUCUAUAUAUAUAUAUAUAUAUAUAUAUAUGGUGGACUCUCCUGUUGAAGACAAUGUACGAGCAUUCAGCCUUUGCCAAAUGACCUGCACAAAUGAUUUGCUUAUAGUGAUCAAAUGUUUGUGCCACACAUUAGCUAGUUCUCUCCGUCAAAUUGACAUUGUCUGAACAGGUGCACAGUGUACCAUGCAACUGAUGAAG